GACGAACGCUGGCGGCGUGCUUAACACAUGCAAGUCGAGCGGUAAGGCCUCUUCGGGGGUACACGAGCGGCGAACGGGUGAGUAACACGUGGGUGACCUUCCCUCAGCUCUGGGAUAAGCCUGGGAAACUGGGUCUAAUACCGGAUAUGACCUUUCCUCGCAUGGGGUUUGGUGGAAAGUUUUUUCGGCUCGGGAUGGGCCCGCGGCCUAUCAGCUUGUUGGUGGGGUGAUGGCCUACCAAGGCGACGACGGGUAGCCGGCCUGAGAGGGCGACCGGCCACACUGGGAGGGAGACACCGCCCAGAAUCCUACGGGAGGCAGCAGUGGGGAAUAUUGCGAAAUGGGCGGAAGUCUGACGCAGCGACGCCGCGUGGGGGAUGACGGCCUUCGGGUUGUAAACCUCUUUCGACCCCGACGAAUUUGGACGGUAGGGGUAGAAGAAGCACCGGCCAACUACGUG
rnacentral:rRNA from 1 species